rnacentral:rRNA from 1 species
AUGUUCAUCAUUUUUGCUAGACAAAAUGCAGAAGAUUUAAUUUCCCUUCUCUGCAUCCUGCCCUGCCUCCUCUUCCACUUGAAGCUCCUCUGCAGCCAUGGUGAUGGCGGUGCGCCUCUGUUACUGCAAAACCGCCAACCUCGAGGUAUACAACAGCAGCCACUGUGUUUUGCAAAUGAAGCCACCAGGGCUUGGCAGGCCAUGCCCAUCGUGCCGCGUAUUGUCAAAGUUGCUGCCACUACCACUGUUUACUUGGCCAAGGUCAAACUACAGCCACGAUAUCAGAUGGUUCCACGUGUGCUUUUGUUUGCCCUGUAG